UGUUUUGUGUCUAUUAAUUGAUGGAAAUGUUUCCCUCAGAAAGAAAGAUGGAUCGUAAUGAUGAGAGAAUCAAAAGAGCUUUAAGACGCCGCCCUUAUGUGUUGAAACCAGUUAGGGUGAACACCCCUGAUUCCGUGUUGUGGCCAACCGGCAAGGUGCACAGAAGGCCAAAGCCUUCUAAUUCAGUGCAGACCCCUCAGAUCCACAAAAGGCCUGUAAGUCACAUUCAAAUUCAACCACAUAACAGUCCUUAUAUUAUUUAUUGAUACACAAUUCAAGGCCAAUAUGAGCAAAGCAGUGUUGAAUUCAUUCUUUACUGUUAACAGCCAAUCAUUGUGAGCUAUGGGCAGGACCAGACAUCUGGGGAUGGAUGGAGCAUCAAUCCAGAGCCUCUCAGCCAGGUCAUCUCUGCUGUUCCCAUACAACAGAUAGAUCAAUCUGUUGAUUCAUAUGGCCAUUUUGGUUGGCUUGGUUGAAUUGACAAUUAUCCAUUCGAGAUGCUAAAGAAUCCUGUACUAUGGAAGAUAUUUUGCCCCACCCCUAAUGUUAUGGGAGUUGCAUUUAUUGCAUUUUCAGUUACCCAUGUAUUACUCACUACUUGUACAACCAUGUUGGAUUGCCUACAUAUUCUAUGUAUUCUAUGGCUGCCAUGAGUACAUGCCUUUCUCUGUCUCCUCAGUCUGGAAGGGUGACUCGGAUAAUAGAGAGAGAAUAUCAUGACGUGAUCUCAUCCUCCAGUUCUGAUGACUUUUCCAUCUACUCCUUCACUGACUGUGAAUCUGAGUGUGAUGAUGAGGAUCAUGAAAGGAGGACAUCAAAGCUGAAAGUUGAGAAU